rnacentral:rRNA from 1 species
CCUACGGGAGGCAGCAGUAAGGAAUAUUGGUCAAUGGACGCAAGUCUGAACCAGCCAUGCCGCGUGAAGGAUUAAGGCCCUCUGGGUUGUAAACUUCUUUUAUAGGGGACGAAAAAAGGGCAUUCUUGCUCACUUGACGGUACCCUAGGAAUAAGCACCGGCUAACUCCGUGCCAGCAGCCGCGGUAAUACGGAGGGUGCAAGCGUUAUCCGGAUUUACUGGGUUUAAAGGGUGCGUAGGUGGGUUGGUAAGUCAGUGGUGAAAUCUUCGAGCUUAACUCGGAAACUGCCAUUGAUACUAUCAAUCUUGAAUCAUCUAGAGGUAAGCGGAAUAUGUCAUGUAGCGGUGAAAUGCUUAGAUAUGACAUAGAACACCAAUUGCGAAGGCAGCUUACUAUGGAUGCAUUGACACUGAGGCACGAAAGCGUGGGGAUCAAACAGGAUUAGAUACCCUGGUAGUCCACGCCCUAAACGAUGGAUACUCGACAUUUGUGAUAUACAAUAAGUGUCUGAGCGAAAGCAUUAAGUAUCCCACCUGGAAGUACGACCGCAAGGUUGAAACUCAAAUGAAUUGACGGCUGAGACGAGCGAGACGACGACGAGGGAGGAGG